ensembl:lncRNA
CUCAAGAAACAUGUGCAGUAGGAAACAGUGUCACAUACUCACAUCCUGACUCCUCCUGGGUUAGCCUGGAACUGGAGGACUCUUACAAUGCUGGAGAAAAUUUUCACUGCUGGGCUUUUCUCAGGAGAUGGAUUGCUUAUUUCAGCUUCUUGAUUCAUUCAGAAUUAUGGUGAUUUUGUCCUACUCGUCCAAAGUUCUCCUAUGUAAGAACUUCAUUCAAAACCAGUUUGCUUUCUUCUUUUUCACUAGGGUGCAAGAAUUAGAAGAACGUGCAGGUGCAAACUUUUGCUAAACCGAAAUCACAGGAAAAUGAUGGUGAUGGUUUCCUGAAAUCCAGAUCAGGUCUCUUUGGGAAAGACCACAGUCAAGUCCACCUACAGCACCCUGACUUGCAUCCUGCUGAGCACAGUGUGCAGCAGCUGGAGUCACUGGAGUCAGUGUCAGAGGAUCUUCAUCUGCCUCCAGAGGUCCAAGCUCCUGCCAGUGCCUGGAGAGGCUCAGCUCAGCUGCACUCAGCUGAAGGAUCAGGUACGACUGCAAACACCACACAUCUGAGAGUAAGGUUUUGUACUUCCCUAUCACUUUCCAUGCAUAAAUUCCACUGCUUCUAGAAAAAUACUAGUAGUGAGAAAAUAUGUGCAAUAUUUUUGGGACAUAAUUCUGUGAGCCAACCUGGCAUUAGUAACUUGUUGUUCUCUCUUUAUCUCCUUAAAACCUUCCUGAAGAUUCAUGAAUGAAAAUAUCCUCUUGUGGCUUGGAUUAAUGUAGGCAAGGAAGGGUCCUUCCCUCAGUGGGGAGGAGCCUAGAUUUUUCUUGUCAGCCCCCAUUUCUGGCACAGAACAACUCUGGACUUUGAACACCAUUUGUAGUUUUCAAGGGUCACAGAUUUGCUGUGCCUGAGGUGGACUGCUGAUAUGGAUGUUCCAUUUGGAAGACAUCUGUCCCAUAGAGCCUCAGCCUCUGAAAACAACAGCAUCCAAACCAACCUGAUCUUCACCAAGGCACCACUUUCCAAAAGAGGGCAAUGUCAGGAAGACUCCUUGUGCCAACCAGCCUUUAAUCUACUGGGUGAGCUGUCUGUUGGGAAGAGGAUAAGGUAUGAGUUUGAAAACUUCUGGCUAGGGGACAGGAUGUGUACCCAGGUAAGUGAACAAGGCAGCUUCUGGGAAAAAAAACCAAAAAAACCCAAUGCAAAAAAAUACACUAUCUCUUUCCUUUCAUCCUUCCCCCUUUUCUCUUUUGUUUCAGCCAAAAACUACAGUACAUGCUACCAAGUUCAGAUAUAUGGUCAGAGCAUUGCCUAUUAAGUAGCCAUCAGAAGGGACAGAACCCAGCUCAUGAAAAUAUUAACAUCUUAGGUGGCGUUAGGAAAAAGAGACACACACACAGAACCCAAGAAACCAGGAGAUCUUCUGAACAAAUAUAAGAUUUUUGAUAGCCAGGUAGCUAUUUCUGCAGUGAAAUUAAUCCAGGACAGGGAGCAUAAGAUCAGUGGAAAUAAUAUAUAUCUAUAUAUCUAGAUAAUAUGUAAUAAUCAGGAACUGAGGGACAGCAGAGAUGAGGCUUAUUGUGUCAGCAAGCCCUAUGCGACAGUCCCAACAUCUGGGCCUCUGCUCUUCUGGAGCCCUGUGGUAGGGGCUCAUCCCAGGCCCUGCAUGUGGAGAAAAGCUUUGGAAUGUGAACACAAAGUACCACACUUGCAG